UUGGGUUAAGUCCCGCAACGAGCGCAACCCUUAUCCUUUGUUGCCAGCGAUUAGGUCGGGAACUCAAAGGAGACUGCCAGUGAUAAACUGGAGGAAGGUGGGGAUGACGUCAAGUCAUCAUGGCCCUUACGACCAGGGCUACACACGUGCUACAAUGGCGCAUACAAAGAGAAGCGACCUCGCGAGAGCAAGCGGACCUCAUAAAGUGCGUCGUAGUCCGGAUUGGAGUCUGCAACUCGACUCCAUGAAGUCGGAAUCGCUAGUAAUCGUGGAUCAGAAUGCCACGGUGAAUACGUUCCCGGGCCUUGUACACACCGCCCGUCACACCAUGGGAGUGGGUUGCAAAAGAAGUAGGUAGCUUAACCUUCGGGAGGGCGCUUACCACUUUGUGAUUCAUGACUGGGGUGAAGUCGUAACAAGGUAACCGUAGGGGAACCUGCGGUUGGA
rnacentral:rRNA from 1 species